CAUUUCAUCAUGUCAAUCGGGAUUAGCUCCAAGAAGCUUGAACAUCAUCCAAGACACUUUGUGGGUUCUAUUUAGAUGAUCAGUCAACACAAGGGAAAGACUUGAGUUACUUCCAACAGGGGUCUAUUCGUUAGUCAAAACGUUAAUCUUGAAGGGGCAAAGGUUUGUUCAUUAGAUGUCAUGCUCGCUAGGCGAAGCCCACGUGUUUCUAAAAUAAAAUAAAUAAAAUAAAAAAUAAACGGAA
rnacentral:lncRNA from 1 species